UGAAGGUGAACAAUCACAUAUCCGGUCCACUUUGGUUGACCAUGUGGUCAACCAUGGUUUGAGUUUCAGGGAGGCUGGGCAGAGGGUCCAGCCUAACUUGAGCUGCUACACUGCAGUAAGUGUCAUCUGGACACUUUGAAAUGAGAACAGAAUUGCUACACAACGCUUCAAUGGAGGAAGAAACCAGCUGUUCACAGCAGAGUAGGAACAACACAUAAUGAAUAUUGUCAUUUCAAACAACCGCAUAAGUUUACGACAACUGCAACACCACAUCAUUGACAACAGUAUUCCAUAACACAGGAGUUAUGGAACUAGACGAUGCUGCAGUGCAUGAUUUCAUCUACAUUGAUGAGGUCUGCUUCAACCUAGUCAAAACAAAACGCAGGAGAAGAAACCUCAUAGGACUGCGUCAAUGUCCCGGGACAGCGUUGUGGCAACGUCACAAUGUGUGCAGCCAUUAGUCAGAACAGUCUUCCAUCAUGCCAUGCUUAGUCCUUGCAAAACUACCUACAUUAUCACCGUCCUUGACACCCAGCAUAAUUUCUCAUUCCCAAUGGCCACAGCAGUCCAGGUUUGUUGUCAUCUGGGACAACGGAAGUUUCCAUCGGGCUGCUCUGGUCCGCAAUUGGUUCAUUGACCAUCCGCAAGUUUUGAUGCUCAACCUGCCACCAUAUUCUUAAAUCCCUAACCCAAUGGAAGGUAUAUGAUCGCCAACCCCACCCACGCAUACCCCUUCUCCAGGAGAUGGAGGUGGCCUGUGGUGACAUAGACAAGGGGGCAUGCCAGGGCUGGAUACGCCACUCCAGACAUUACUUCCCCCGCUGUUUAGCCAGUGAGAACAUUGCUUGUGAUGUUGAUGCGGCACUGUGGCUAGACCCAAAUAGGAGACGGGACGCACCCGAUUGCUUUUUUUUUAUUUAUAGUAACAAGCCUGUUUUUUUUCUUUAUAGUAACAAGUCUGUUUUUUUUCUUUAGUAACAGGCCUAUUUUGUUUAUCUUCUACUGUAUUUGUUUUGGCUGUUACUGUUCAUCCUGAAAUCUGGAUGUAAAAAAAAUAUUUUUAAUUUUUCCCCAGCCUUGCAUUUCUGUUAGUGUAAAGAUAUACUGAAUAUGCAUACAUACUGUAUAUUUGUGCAGGUACAUGUGAGUGCUAUGACAAACUUCAGUGGACUCCAAUGAACAUGCAAAAGACACACGAUAGAAGUCAUUUAUCACAUCCGCGUGUAGUUGGGAGUGUAUAAGAGCUAAUCAUUUGAUGGUUUGUGUGUAGAGUUUUGAUGCAAAAAAAACAACUUGGAGAAGAGUUAAAAUACUUUU